rnacentral:rRNA from 1 species
UACGUAGGGGGCAAGCGUUGUCCGGAUUUAUUGGGCGUAAAGAGCGUGUAGGCGGCCAUACAGGUCCGUUGUGAAAACUGGAGGCUUAACCUCCAGACGUCGAUGGAAACCGUAUGGCUAGAGUCCGGAAGAGGAGAGUGGAAUUCCUGGUGUAGCGGUGAAAUGCGCAGAUAUCAGGAAGAACACCCAUGGCGAAGGCGGCUCUCUGGGACGGUACUGACGCUGAGACGCGAAAGCGUGGGGAGCGAACAGG